rnacentral:rRNA from 1 species
CUUUACUAUAGCUUGACACUGAACAUUGAGCCUUGAUGUGUAGGAUAGGUGGGAGGCUUUGAAGUGUGGACGCCAGUCUGCAUGGAGCCGACCUUGAAAUACCACCCUUUAAUGUUUGAUGUUCUAACGUUGGCCCCUGAUCGGGGUUGCGGACAGUGUCUGGUGGGUAGUUUGACUGGGGCGGUCUCCUCCUAAAGAGUAACGGAGGAGCACGAAGGUUGGCUAAUCCUGGUCGGACAUCAGGAGGUUAGUGCAAUGGCAUAAGCCAGCUUGACUGCGAGCGUGACGGCGCGAGCAGGUGCGAAAGCAGGUCAUAGUGAUCCGGUGGUUCUGAAUGGAAGGGCCAUCGCUCAACGGAUAAAAGGUACUCCGGGGAUAACAGGCUGAUACCGCCCAAGAGUUCAUAUCGACGGCGGUGUUUGGCACCUCGAUGUCGGCUCAUCACAUCCUGGGGCUGAAGUAGGUCCCAAGGGUAUGGCUGUUCGCCAUUUAAAGUGGUACGCGAGCUGGGUUUAGAACGUCGUGAGACAGUUCGGUCCCUAUCUGCCGUGGGCGCUGGAGAACUGAGGGGGGCUGCUCCUAGUACGAGAGGACCGGAGUGGACGCAUCACUGGUGUUCGGGUUGUCAUGCCAAUGGCACUGCCCGGUAGCUAAAUGCGGAAGAGAUAAGUGCUGAAAGCAUCUAAGCACGAAACUUGCCCCGAGAUGAGUUCUCCCUGACCCUUUAAGGGUCCUGAAGGAACGUUGAAGACGACGACGUUGAUAGGCCGGGUGUGUAAGCGCAGCGAUGCGUUGAGCUAACCGGUACUAAUGAACCGUGAGG